UCGUAACAAGGUUCCGUAGGUGAACCUGCGGAAGGAUCAUUC
rnacentral:rRNA from 2 species